UACGCACUGGCGUCAUUGGUUUCUCCUUUCUGACGAACCAUGAUGUCAUUAAUUUGGUGUUAUGGGGAGUUAGGACUGUUACUUUGAAAAAAUUAGAGUGUUUAAAGCAGGCAUUAGCUUGAAUACAUUAGCAUGGAAUAAUGAAAUAGGACGUUCGAUCCUAUUUUGUUGGUUUCUAGGAUCAACGUAAUGAUUAAUAGGGAUAGUUGGGGGCAUUAGUAUUCAAUUGUCAGAGGUGAAAUUCUUGGAUUUAUUGAAGACUAACUACUGCGAAAGCAUUUGCCAAGGAUGUUUUCAUUAAUCAAGAACGAAAGUUAGGGGAUCGAAGACGAUCAGAUACCGUCGUAGUCUUAACCAUAAACUAUGCCGACUAGGGAUCGGAUGAUGUUAAUUUUUUAAUGACUCAUUCGGCGCCUUACG
rnacentral:rRNA from 1 species